CGCACGCCCGGCGGCGCGCUCUUGGCUGGGGUUAAAGGGCAGGUUUCUGGCGAACCUGCAAUGAGAAGCGAUCAGAAGCGCCAGCAUUACUGGUUGGAACAACACGCUGUUAGUGAUCUACUGGAUACCUCUUGGGCCCCGCUUGCUCCAGCCUUUGUAGUGACAGCCAGAUUCAUGCCGGUGAAACCUGACAGCCCCUCACUUGACUUUCUGACCUGGGAGCUUCUCUACAACCUUUGGAAACAGGAGCACAACCUGAAAGUGAUGAAUUCCCAAAUAAAGAACUUACGCAUAAUCUGGAGGACACAGGCUCUACUUUCCACAGAGAACCCAACUUAAGAGAUAAAGGUUAAACGUUUCUACCGUCUGUGGAACAUGGAAUCAAACCAGAAUAUGUUGGCAUAACAGGCCAGUCAAACCGGUUCUUCUGUGGAUCCAGAACCCGUCCAACCAGUCUGCAUCAAAGGCUAGCCCAACAAGCUGCAGCGGCUCAGCUCUGCUAAGCUUGUACCGGCAUGGCUUGCCAAGUGGUGCCAUGUCUGCAGCCAGGAUCCGA
rnacentral:lncRNA from 1 species